UCCGAGUUGACCCCGGCAGUCUCCUAUGAGUCCCCGACAUUACUCGCUGGCAACAUAGGACGAGGGUUGCGCUCGUUGCGGGACUUAACCCAACAUCUCACGACACGAGCUGACGACAACCAUGCACCACCUGUACACCGACCUUGCGGGGCCGCCAUCUCUGACGGUUUCCGGUGUAUGUCAAGCCUUGGUAAGGUUCUUCGCGUUGCGUCGAAUUAAGCCACAUGCUCCGCCGCUUGUGCGGGCCCCCGUCAAUUCCUUUGAGUUUUAGCCUUGCGGCCGUACUCCCCAGGCGGGGCGCUUAAUGCGUUAGCUGCGGCACGGAGAACGUGGAAGGUUCCCCACACCUAGCGCCCAACGUUUACGGCGUGGACUAC
rnacentral:misc_RNA from 1 species